UGAAGUGGCCAGUGAUCCCAAACGGAAAGAUUUGAUGCAUAUAGCUCUUCUCCUGCAAGAAGCAAACAGUAUUAGCAGCAAUCUCAAGAAGUCUACGACAUUUCAACGUGAAGACUUUGUAGCAGAUGGACAGGUAACCAACCAAAGAGAAUACGUUUGGG